CCGGUGCCCCCUCAAGCCGCCUCCCGCUGCCUCCUGGGGCGCAGCGCCGGCGGCUCCCGGGUUCCGGCUCUUCUAAGCUUCCCCUGGCCAAUGGGGUGUCCUGUGCAUCUGGCUCCACCCCUAGCCUCCGAAUUCCUGGCGCUGAUUGGCCACGACGCGAGCACAUGCGUGUCGGGAAAUGUAGUUUGAUUGCCCCGGCUCCCGCGUGGUCCGGGUCGGGCGGAGGCCCAAGCCGGGAAUUCCUAUUGGCUGAUUCGGAUGGAGGUGGAGAGCAGGGAGCUGGCCAGCCUGUGGCCGUCGAGCGCGCAGUGCCUGCCGGGAGAGGUAGUCUUCUGGCGGAGGAGAACUGUCAUUCUGAGGGGCUGGGGUAGGGAAAGCUCUUCAAGUGCGAAUUUCCCCAUUUUAGGCCUCUCUCCUGGCCCCCGGCACAUUUUUUUACCUUUUUCUUCUUCCGUAAACUUCCUGCCAGUGACUAGCUUCCGGUAUGAAAUCAAGCUCUGCGUGAGAGCUGUAAAACCAGAAAAAUGUGGAAAUGGACAGGAGGGCUGUUGUCCAAAAAUGCAAAGGAAAUCUGACGUCCCACCCUGAAGAAAAAUAUCACAAGGCCCAAAAGCAAGGCGUCUCUGAUGAGUCACCUAUGACACCCAAUUGAAAUAGCAUCGCCUUGGCCGGGUGCUCUGGUUUCCACAGAUUAACUUGGUCUGGUUACAGCGGCUGCUUAGGAUCUUCAACUCCCACUGGUGCCUUGCUUUUCUAGCACACCCAGAGAACACCUGUUCCUCACGUGAACAUUACAAGGGGAUCCAAGAUGCUUUACUUUUUGCUCUUGGGAAAUGGAGGGGAUACAAUACUAAGUAUUCCGGAAUUUCCUUUGAAAAAAUACCGGAAUGCCCUGAGCCCGGAGCCAGGGAUGAUUACUGAAGCCCUGGCUCUUUAGUCACUAUAUGUGAGAACUGACAUAAGACCUUUCAACCCCUGAGCGCUUAGAUCCUUCAUCUGUAACGUGAAGUAAUAGUAAUCCGUACUCCAUGGAUUUCAUAGGCUGCAACCUUUUGGAAAGAAAAUCAAAAUUUUACUGUUGACGAAUUUUUAUUUACUCAUCUUGUGUUUCUAACAUCUAACGGGGUGCCUGGCACAUUAUAGAUGUUUCAUAUUUUAAAAAUAAAUGUAAGGUGCAAAUGAGCUAACAUUGGGAAUGCUAUUUCUAGAUGUUAAAAUGUAAGGAAGUAUCAGCGAAUGGGAAGAAUUUCUAGUAGACAUAUAGUUAGCCCGUGUGCAUAACUUUUCUAGCACUGAAAAGAUCAAACCGUUGAACUUCUUGAUAAAGAAAGGAUCUUGGAAUUUAAAUUGUGAUUGAGAAAGAGAAAUAAUUAUGAAAAACAAUUCAGUUCUGUCUUCUAGGUCUGCUGAGAAAUUUAGAACUUAAAAUACUAUAAUCCCAUGCAAGUUAACAGGAAGUGGUGUUUCCUCAUGACUGGGGUUUCUGCAUAUACAUAUGCACUUAUAAUUUCUUCUUUGUGAAUGUCCUGUAUGCACGUUUCUGGAUAGAUGAAAUUGACUUAAUUUUGGUUACUCAUAACUUUAUUUUUUCGUUUUUAUGAUGUUGCUUUCUAAUUUAUUAAAAUGGUAGCACUUUAUGACAAUAUGGUUAGUAUUGAGGAAAAAAAUGGCGUUAAUCCUUAGGGUUUGACAACAUCUGACGAUAUUGCAAAUAAAAAUACAGGGCAUGCAUUAUUUGAGAAAUAUUUAAACUGAAAUAUCAUUUGUUGUUUAUCUGAAAUUUAAAUUUAAUUGGGUGUUCUGUAUUUUAUCUGGCAACCUUUUC
rnacentral:lncRNA from 1 species